CUACGGGUUGCACCAGUGGGGAAUAUUGCACAAUGGGCGCAAGCCUGAUGCAGCAACGCCGCGUGAACGAAGAAGGUCUUCGGAUCGUAAAGUUCUUUUCUUAGGGAAGAAAAAUGACGGUACCUAAGGAAUAAGCACCGGCUAAAUACGUGCCAGCAGCCGCGGUAAUACGUAUGGUGCAAGCGUUAUCCGGAAUCACUGGCGUAAAGGGAGCGUAGGCGGUUUUGCAAGUCAGAAGUGAAAGGCUACGGCUCAACCGUGGUAAGCUUUUGAAACUGCAAGACUAGAGUGCAGGAGAGGCAAGUGGAAUUCCUAGUGUAGAGGUGAAAUUCGUAGAUAUUAGGAGGAACACCAGUGGCGAAGGCGACUUGCUGGACUGUAACUGACGCUGAGGCUCGAAAGCGUGGGGAGCGAACAGGAUUAGAUACCCGGGUAGUC
rnacentral:rRNA from 1 species